AGCUCCAAUAGCGUAUAUUAAAGUUGUUGCGGUUAAAAAGCUCGUAGUUGGAUUUCUGUUGAGAACAGGCGGUCCACCUCUUGGGUGAGUAUCUGCAUUGGUCUCGGCAUCCUCUCGAAACUCGUUGCUGCGCUUGAUUGCGUGGUGCGGUGUUCGGGACUUUUACUUUGAGGAAAUUAGAGUGUUCACGGCAGGCAUUCGCCUUGAAUAUAUUAGCAUGGAAUAAUACUAUAGGAUCUUGGUUCUAUUUUGUUGGUUUCUAGGGCUAAGAUAAUAAUCAAUAGGGACAAUUGGGGGCAUUCGUAUUACGGCGUCAGAGGUGAAAUUCUUGGAUUGCCGUACGACGAACUACUGCGAAAGCAUUUGCCAAGGAUGUUUUCA
rnacentral:rRNA from 1 species